GUGAUAAGCAUAAUCUAAGUAGCUUCUACAUUAUAAAUGAUGUUACAAAAUGUCUACAUUGUUUCAAUUAAUUCCACAGUUUCACCACAAUAAUUUGCAAAGAGGUGUCGCAUGUUACUAUGUCAAUUGUAAAAUGUGACAUCUUUUUCCUGCCGUUGGUGUUAGAGAUAGACACCAUCAACUUUGCCUACAAGAGGGCGGUCUGGCAUAGCUUGCACACAUGCAUGUGGAAACACAUUUCCUGUUCACAUCCACUCUUCCCUUCCUAGUCUGAUUAAACUGACUCCCUCUGGAGCAGGAUGUUUUGAGAGAUGUAGGGCAUCAUGAUAUUGCGCCAGCUAUAUCACAUUUCUUCGACUGCUUUUUUGGAAGUAUUCAAGCUGUUGGCUCAAAAGUUGCUGCCAAUAAUAUGCAGUCCAGAACCCACAAAAAGGACCAAGGAGGCCAUCAAUCUUCAGGAAAGCCUUCUAAGGGGCAAGGAAGGUCUAAUGGUGGGGCGUCUGCAAGGAUGAAUCAAUCGUCAUUUAUGAAUGUUAGCUCAGAAACUCUAUGGUCA